GACUAACGCUGGCGGCGUGCCUAACACAUGCAAGUCGAACGCAUCUGUGCUUCGGUACAGAUGAGUGGCGAACGGGUGAGUAACACGUGAGUAACUCCCCUGGGGAAGGGGGAUAACCAUCUGAAAAGGUGGCUAAUACCCCAUAUUCUUUUUUCUCAUAAGAGGAAAGAGGAAAGAUGGCGUAAGCUAUCACCCCGAGAGAGGCUCGCGUCCCAUCAGCUAGUUGGUAAGGUAAGAGCUUACCAAGGCUAUGACGGGUAGCUGGUCUGAGAGGAUGGUCAGCCACACUGGGACUGAGACACGGCCCAGACUCCUACGGGAGGCAGCAGUGAGGAAUCUUGGGCAAUGGGCGAAAGCCUGACCCAGCGACGCCGCGUGGAGGAAGAAGGCCUUCGGUCGUAAACUCCUGUUCGGGAGAAGAACAGGAGGGAAGUGAAUAACUUCUCUCCCUGACGGUAUCCUCGGAGAAAGCUCCGGCUAAUUACGUGCCAGCAGCCGCGGUAAACACG
rnacentral:rRNA from 1 species